GGAGCCCUCCGAGCCAGCCUCUGGGGCUCGGAACCUGGAACGCAACGGUGCCGGGGUGGGGGUGGCCUGGCCAUUGAUGCCCAGCCUGGGAGGAAAGUACGUUGCUGCCACUCAAGAAGAUGGGGCUGAUGCUCCCAGAUGGUAAGACAAAUUAGGAACUUAACCCACAGCAGAUGAAUCAAUUUCUUAGGAAUCGAGGAUCAACACUGGAGUAUUUCUUCAGAAAGCUUCCUUGGAGGUGGCAACAAGGGAGCAGAGCCAUUUGCACACCUGGACAAAGUCAGAAGGGUCAUUUUCAGUCAUUAUACCUCGUUUAAGAAGCAAUUCACAUACAGCAACUAUUUUCAUCCAUGCAUUCUUGGUAACCAUAAGAAACUUUAUCACGUGUGAAUAAGCUGUAAGUAGCAGAUCCAGGAACACUAUUGUUCUCUUUUUGAGUCUAAUUCAGUCAUAGGUAACUGUGACCGACUUUCAAUAAACAUUACCUAUUAGCCAUCUUA